rnacentral:misc_RNA from 1 species
AAAGUCAACACAGAACCUGAGGUUUAUGACGAGUUGUGAUUUUUACUAAAUGAACAUAUAUGAUCAAUGUGGAUCAACUACCUUCUGAGUUAAAGAUGUGGAGGAAAGAUAGGAGAGAUGCAUUUUUUGCAGAUUUAAAUUGCAGAUGAAUAGUAUGGAGCCUUUUUCAUAUAGCAAGGCAGCUUUCAAUAUAUUAUCCUUUAGAUGGCGACUCAGAUGUUAGAAGAAUCAUAUCUAAAGAACUUUCCUCCCUUCCGUUAAUUGUAACACCUAAAAAAUUAUACCUAUCAUUAGAGGCAUUUAGUAGUGUACCAGUUUGCCUCUUUGGGAGUUUUGAUCGUCUUUAUUAGGGAUUUUUUAAUCGAGGGAGAGAUCAUAACCAUUGUCAUAACUAUAUAUACAGAUUUUAUUUAAUCCUUCUGGAUUUUAAUCAUGCCUUUGGAGUUCAUCCAGAUCCGAUGGCAGAAAGACGGGUUUGGAGAUGAUAGAUAAAACAUGAACUUCAUUUUAUGAGAGACAAAUUUGAAAAGAGAGGUGAGAUUUAAAAUUUGGG